CAUUGUCUAGGGCUGAGAAGGACUGCCUCUGACCUUGUGCCCACUAAUUGUGUGGUACUAUAUGCUGCCCUGCUGCUGUGGAUGUUCAGAUAUGUACCCGGGUUCAAAGACAGUAUUCCAGGUGGCUCAAAGAAUUCUUAGAGUUUGUGCUCAUGACAGGUAUGUCACUGAUUUUUCAUCUGAAUUACUAUAUUUAUAGUUCAGUAAGCCUUUAUAGUUGGAUCUACAUUCUGUAACUAGG
rnacentral:lncRNA from 1 species